CAUAGACUCCCAAGUUUGGAGACCAACGCUGUAAUCACCAAAGCCAAGGGCGCCAAUGUGUAUUCUUGGGACGAUCGGAGAGGCUUUUUGUGCUUCGCGAGGCAAAAGAAAGUCUGUAUUUUCAGACAUGACGGAACGCUUGUCCAGACUAGAAGCUGCCCUUACAAAUAAGAAGGGUGCUAAAAAUGAGGACCAUUUGAAAUUGAUAAGUGAACUUCAGUCAAAUCUUGAAGAGGCUAAUGCAGAGCUGGUUUUAGAACGAGCAAAGGUUCUA